CCUACGGGAGACAGCAGUGGGGAAUAUUGGGCAAUGGGCGCAAGCCUGACCCAGCAACGCCGCGUGAAGGAAGAAGGCUUUCGGGUUGUAAACUUCUUUUAAGGGGGAAGAGCAGAAGACGGUACCCCUUGAAUAAGCCACGGCUAACUACGUGCCAGCAGCCGCGGUAAUACGUAGGUGGCAAGCGUUGUCCGGAUUUACUGGGUGUAAAGGGCGUGCAGCCGGAGAGACAAGUCAGAUGUGAAAUCCACGGGCUCAACCCGUGAACUGCAUUUGAAACUGUUUCCCUUGAGUGUCGGAGAGGUGAUCGGAAUUCCUUGUGUAGCGGUGAAAUGCGUAGAUAUAAGGAAGAACACCAGUGGCGAAGGCGGAUUACUGGACGAUAACUGACGGUGAGGCGCGAAAGCGUGGGGAGCAAACAGGAUUAGAUACCCCAGUAGUC
rnacentral:rRNA from 1 species